AACGUAGGAGCCAAGCGUUAUCCGAAUUCACUGGGCGUAAAGCGCGUGCAGGCGGCCUGCUAAGUUGGCUGUGAAAUCUCCUGGCUCAACUGGGAGGGGCCGGUCAAUACUGGUAGGCUCGAGGGCGACAGAGGGAGGUGGAAUUCCGGGUGUAGUGGUGAAAUGCGUAGAUAUCCGGAGGAACACCAGAGGCGAAGGCGACCUCCUGGGUCGUACCUGACGCUCAGAUGCGAAAGCUAGGGGAGCGAAC
rnacentral:rRNA from 1 species